UCCUACGGGGCGCAGCAGUGGGGAAUUUUGCGCAAUGGACGAGAGUCUGACGCAGCAACGCCGCGUGGGUGAUGAAGGUCUUCGGACUGUAAAACCCUGUCGUCAGGGACGAAGGUGGCAGUGUUAAUAGCGCUGUUACUUGACGGUACCUGGAGAGGAAGCCCCGGCUAACUCUGUGCCAGCAGCCGCGGUAAUACAGAGGGGGCAAGCGUUAUUCGGAAUUAUUGGGCGUAAAGGGCGCGUAGGCGGUUUUUUAAGUCAGAUGUGUAAUCCCCGAGCUCAACUUGGGAACUGCAUCUGAGACUGGAAGGCUAGAGUACUGGAGAGGGUGGUGGAAUUCCUCGUGUAGCGGUGAAAUGCGUAGAGAUGAGGAGGAACACCAGUGGCGAAGGCGGCCACCUGGACAGUAACUGACGCUGAGGCGCGAAAGUGUGGGUAGCAAACAGGAUUAGAUACCCCGGUAGUCC
rnacentral:rRNA from 1 species